GAUCCUGCUCAGGAUGAACGCUAGCGACAGGCUUAACACAUGCAAGUCGAGGGGCAGCAUGAUAAGUAGCAAUACUUAUUGAUGGCGACCGGCGCACGGGUGAGUAACGCGUAUGCAACUUACCUAUCAGAGGGGGAUAGCCCGGCGAAAGUCGGAUUAAUACUCCAUAAAACAGGGGUUCCGCAUGGGACUAUUUGUUAAAGAUUCAUCGCUGAUAGAUAGGCAUGCGUU
rnacentral:rRNA from 1 species